GGGAUAUUACAUUUACCUGCUUACUGAACAAAAGGUGUUUGUUAGCAGUAAGGCAUAUUUUUUGAAAAAAGAAUUUCUUAAUGAAGGAAUAAGUACCUUUAAAAUUGAGCUUAACGAAGUUUGACAGGUAGAAGAACUGAUACCAAUGAUUGAAUCUGAAUCAGAUUUGAUGAGAUCAACCCUGGAGCCCAAUGAACAAACAUCUUUAAGGC
rnacentral:lncRNA from 1 species